rnacentral:rRNA from 1 species
GAUGAACGCUAGCGGCAGGCUUAACACAUGCAAGUCGAGGGGUAGAGUUAGCUUGCUAACUUGAGACCGGCGCACGGGUGCGUAACGCGUAUGCAAUCUACCUUGUACAGAGGGAUAGCCCGGAGAAAUUUGGAUUAAUACCUCAUAGUAUUAUUGAAUGGCAUCAUUUGAUUAUUAAAGUUCCAACGGUACAAGAUGAGCAUGCGUACCAUUAGCUAGAUGGUAAGGUAACGGCUUACCAUGGCAACGAUGGGUAGGGGUCCUGAGAGGGAGUUCCCCACCCCGGGUAAGGAGAACCGGACCGGACUCUUAGGGAAGGCAGCAGUGAGGAAUAUUGGUAAAUGGGCGCAAGCCUGAACCAGCCAGGCGGCGUGCAGGAAGACGGUCCUAUGAUUGUAAACUGCUUUUAUACGGGAAGAAACCCUGCUACGUGUAGCAGCUUGACGGUACCGUAAGAAUAAGCAUCGGCUAACUCCGUGCCAGCAGCCGCCGUAA